rnacentral:rRNA from 1 species
UAGGGAAUCUUCGGCAAUGGACGAAAGUCUGACCGAGCAACGCCGCGUGAGUGAAGAAGGUUUUCGGAUCGUAAAACUCUGUUGUUAGAGAAGAACAAGGACGUUAGUAACUGAACGUCCCCUGACGGUAUCUAACCAGAAAGCCACGGCUAACUACGUGCCAGCAGCCGCGGUAAUACGUAGGUGGCAAGCGUUGUCCGGAUUUAUUGGGCGUAAAGCGAGCGCAGGCGGUUUCUUAAGUCUGAUGUGAAAGCCCCCGGCUCAACCGGGGAGGGUCAUUGGAAACUGGGAGACUUUAGUGCAGAAGAGGAGAGUGGAAUUCCAUGUGUAGCGGUGAAAUGCGUAGAUAUAUGGAGGAACACCAGUGGCGAAGGCGGCUCUCUGGUCUGUAACUGACGCUGAGGCUCGAAAGCGUGGGGAGCACACAGG